AUGGCCAGCAUGUUGGGUAUGCAGUCGGAGGAGAUAACCUGUACCAGCAUCGAUGAGGCGAAGCGAAGGACGGAGGCGAUGCCGGGAUGCCCCGGCCCGAUGCGCCUGGUGCGUCGUCCCUCCGGCAAAGGCCGCUUGGAGAUGUGCGCUCUUGGGGCAGGAGGGAGCAGCAACGUCGCAUGGGUAGGAGGGGCGGGCGGUCUCGCCUCGGCUGGCGGCGGCGCAAGCACGGCCGCGGCUGGCUCAGGGGAUGCGGCGGCGCAGGCGCCGGGGCAGUGCAGACGUGGGCGCGGCCGAACGGGUGCCAGUGCAGGCUCUAUCUCCUGGAUAUGA
rnacentral:rRNA from 1 species